CAGACCGGGAGGGGUAUAUUACGCGCCUGUGUUCCGGCUAUCUAGUUUUCUGCGCAGAUGGCACCCAGCACGAUCCCGAACUGCCCCAACGAUGUUCGUGACCAGGAGCGGAGGGCGCAUUGCGGACUUCUUGGAGGAGGUUGACCAGCUACCCCCCAGCGUGCGCGUCGUCGUCCUGCACUGUGGGACAAACGACAUGCCAUACAGCGACCCCGACUCGGCCAUCCGGCACUACGUGCAGCUUCUGGAUCACAUUCGUUCCCGCGGGAACAUCGAUCUUGUAGUAUGUACUCUUAUUCUACCCCGCUCCUUCAACCGCCGUCGAUCUUAUCCCGACAGGCGCCGUGAGUUCCAAUGUAACCCACGGGCGUACGGCUUCAACAUGCGGCUGCGAGACCUGUGCAAGCGAUCGCCGGACCUCUACUUUCUGGAUCACGGCUUUCAUCGACAACCCCCGACGAGAGUCCUAGCAGCCGACGGCCUGCACCCUAACUUCGAGGGAGUCCGGCAGAUAGCAGACCGAGUGCGAACCCUACUGCCCCGGCUUCUACGUCGGCUGCCUGUCCACAAGGAAGGAGGCACCGGGACGCCUGAUCCAGUAUGGCCCACAAUCCAGGAAGCAGCAGCGAGCAGUCGGAGCCACGUCCACGUUCAGAAGACGUCUAAGAAGCAGGAUUGACUAACCGGUGAGUCUGAACCAAUUUAUCCCGGCGAAACUACUAGCAGUGACACUCAGGCGUUUUUCCAACUCAGAAAAAUCGCGGACAAAAUUGCGCGCUACUCCUCUCACCUUAAUACUCUUGUAACAUAUGAAAGGAGUGGAAAAUGCCCGCGAGGACUGCAGAUUCGUAAGAUAUCUACGUUUCCUCUUAACCAAAACCUUGAAAAAGAGUGGUUAUCAACCCUGCACAAUACGUCCCUAGCCCUAACAAAAAUACUAGUUAUGCAGUGUCAAGAUACAAUAAAUUCCCUGUCAGAGGAGGCAAACACCGUCUCAAACGAAACCACCUUAUCAGAGUCUCAUAGAGCAGAACUAGACGAGUUCUUUCAAAAGAAACGAGUGAGCCUAAAACUACAGAAAGAAAAAAAGCUCACUCGGGAUAACAUACAACAUCAUACCGCCGAUAACACCGCCUCAAACGCGCCCAAUUUCUUGUGCACUUCUGCCAUAGCCUCAAACCCUAAUCUGCAGCACGCCCCUGAAACGCACCUAACUAAUAAUUCCCCUCCAAUGCGUGAUGCCGACCGACAACCAAAAGAUCGUAACGUUAUCAACCUUUCUUCACGUGAACUUACGAACUCCGAUCGUUCCUUACUUGGUAAAGGAUUAUCGUUCUGCCCUAAUGAUGCAAGAGUGGAUGAAUACCAGUUACAUUUAGAUCUUGAUAACUUUGCCCGGAGGCUACGGCUUGCAGAAUAUUUUCAUGAAAAGACAGAGUCGAACAGUAAUCCGUUUCGUAUAAAAUCAGAGUUCACUCCAGAACCUAACCGAGAUAAAACCCUUGAUUUGUACAUUAAAGCAGUUCAGAAGGAUAUCUUCCGUGCGUAUCAGGACAGCGCCAAACGCAAACUCAGGUAUAACGUCACUAAGCAGGAGCAAGAAAGCUUGUCGGCAUUAGAGAACGACAAGGAUAUCGUAAUUAAGAGGGCAGAUAAAGGAGGCGCGAUAGUUGUAAUGGAUAAACAAUCAUACGUUACAGAAGGCCUCCGCCAACUUCAGUGCGCGGAAUUUUACAGACCUCUCGAAACUGACCCUACCCCCGAAAUUAGUGCCAAUGUAACCAAAGUCCUAACAAGAUUAAAAAAACGCUAAAAAGAUUGACGAGAGCUUGUACCAGUAUUUACUCCCAAAGGACCCUAGGCCUGGUAGAUUUUACAUGCUCCCCAAGAUACAUAAGCCGGGUAACCCCGGAAGACCGAUUGUUUCCUGUAAUGGUACAGCCACUGAGAAUCUUUCAUCAUUCGUGGAUCAUCUCCUCAAGCCCAUCCCGUCUAAAUUCGACUCAUACGUUAAGGAUACCAACCAUUUCCUUCAAGAUAUAGUAAAAUAAACGUUCCCCCUAACUGUCUGUUAGCAACCCUAGAUGUCACUUCCCUGUAUACUACCAUUCCUCACUCAGAUGGAAUAGCAGCAGCAGAGCGUGCAUUUAAGAAUCAACCCGAUCAGGGUUAUGAUACGUCUGUCCUCACGGAGCUCCUGAAUCUGAUCCUAACAUGCAAUAACUUUGAAUUCGACGACGAACACUACAUACAGGUCAACGGUACAGCAAUGGGAACAAAAAUGGGCCCUAACUAUGCAAAUAUCUUCAUGGCAUCCUUGGAAGAACCGUUCCUCAGAAAUUGUGCACUGAAGCCACUCCUAUAUAAGCGAUUCCUAGAUGAUAUAUUCAUUAUUUGGCCCCACUCCGAAUGCGACCUUCAGUUGUUUGUUAACGACUUUAACCAAGUACAUCCCAGUAUUGAAUUUACAGUAUCAAUUACUCCUCCUCAGCUGUUAAUUUUCUGGAUGUGGAAGUUAAACUACAUAAUGGAAUCAUAACCACCAGUCUGUAUCGCAAGCCUACCGACUCCCAACAAUAUCUAUCGUUCCAGAGUUGCCACCCCAGGCACACUAAGCUAGCUAUCCCUUAUAGUCAAGCGCUGCGUUACCGGAGAAUAUGUUCUAACGAUGAUGAACUAGACAAUCAUCUUGAGAGCCUUGAAGAAACUUUCGCAGAUAGAAAAUAUCCUAAUCAGGUCGUAAAAGAUGCCAUAGCCAGAGCUAGAUCAACCGAUCGAGAGAACCUAUUCCAAACACAGCCCCGAGCUGAUAAGAAUUCUUCGGUAAACCUCACUAUUAGCUUCAACGGUUAUGCCCCGGACGUAAACCGCAUACUUAAACGGCACUAUGCAAUCCUCACCCAAUCUGAUCGCAUGAGUCAGGUGUUUCCGGAACCACCCCGCGUUACUUAUCGUCGAGCAAGGAACAUCCAAGACAGACUUGUGAACGCCAAGUUAAACAAGUCCUCGGAACACAACGGUUGUCAACCAUGCAACUGACGCAGAUGCCAGAUCUGUAAAUUAAUGCAAACUGCUACAAGAGUAGAAAGCACAAAUUCUAACUAUCGCACAAAAAUUAAUGGUCUAUUUAACUGCAACUCUUCUAACGUCCUUUAUCUCCUUCAAUGUAAUGAGUGCAAGGCCCAAUAUAUCGGUCAAACAGCUACAUCCUUCCGAAUCCGAUUCAACAACCACAGGUCCGACGUAUCAAAGAAACCUAAUCUGCCAGUGUCUCGACAUUUUAGUAAACCCGGCCACUCAAUUAACGACAUAGCCAUUUUCGUUCUGCAAUCGGGUUUUCCAUCCCAACGCCUUAGAGAACAAAGAGAAUCGUUCCUGAUCUACAAAUUUAAAAGCCAGAUCAACGAGGACCCCGGCGUCCUCUCAACAGUUCGCAACCUAAAUUCCUAAUUCUCUCAGAAUACAUACACUCUUUUGUAUCUCUUUCAGACUCCCCGGUUGGUCACCCCAGGAAAUCAUUGCCCUCCGGCGAAGAACUUGACUGCCUAUGAUUCAUUGUACCCCUUUACCUUUGUUUGAGAAAGCACGUGUGCUGCCCUCUCUCCUUGUACAUAUUCCCCUCUCAUUCUUUGCAAUUGUCUUGCGUCACCAUAGUAUCCCAUUCCUGUUGAAGACAGCGCUGCUGUCGAAACGUCGAAUACCCCCUCUUAGUUUUUAAUAAAGUCCCCCUUUUAUUCCUUAUCCUGUAGAAGCACCGUCUCCACUUCUGA